GUAGGGAAAGAGCCUCGUGAUAGCUCUGGAUUUUCUUCUGAAUUAUGGUCUUGGUUUCAGUCAGGUGGCUGGUGGCAUAUCUUGCUCACAGUUUUAGGCCCUAUUUUUGCUGUUCUGAUUGC